rnacentral:rRNA from 1 species
AUUGAACGCUGGCGGCAUGCUUUACACAUGCAAGUCGGACGGCAGCACAGAGAAGCUUGCUUCUUGGGUGGCGAGUGGCGAACGGGUGAGUAAUAUAUCGGAACGUACCGAGCAGUGGGGGAUAACUAAUCGAAAGAUUAGCUAAUACCGCAUAUUUUCUGAGGAAGAAAGCAGGGGACCAUUUGGCCUUGCGCUGUUUGAGCGGCCGAUAUCUGAUUAGCUAGUUGGUGGGGUAAAGGCCUACCAAGGCGACGAUCAGUAGCGGGUCUGAGAGGAUGAUCCGCCACACUGGGACUGAGACACGGCCCAGACUCCUACGGGAGGCAGCAGUGGGGAAUUUUGGACAAUGGGCGCAAGCCUGAUCCAGCCAUGCCGCGUGUCUGAAGAAGGGCUUCGGGUUGUAAAGGACUUUUGUCAGGGAAGAAAAGGGCGGGGUUAAUACCCCUGUCUGAUGA